GAAACAUCAAAAUAUCUUUACUCUGAAGUCAUAGUGCCCAAGCUGCUCAGACAGCAACCUGGCUUCCACACGGAGAAUGAAGUGUCCUAUCUAGUCCAAACUGAAGGCAUUAACAGGAUUAUUCACCUUCAACAGCAAUCGAAGCAGCCAGGUCGGGCAAGGAUCCAGAGAACAAGUGGUAGGCCAUACCGCUCCAAGCAGCUUGUCCACGUCAUCAGGAGUCACAGAUUGAAACUGAUCCAACCUAACACUGCAAGAGGGAUCGCGGGACACCUUCCUCACAGACCAGGCAAUACUUUAUAAUUCGAAAUAUGCCUGUUUACUAUCUUAGUGUGAAAGGAGACAGACGGGUCGAGCAUCCAUAUAUCCGGGAUGACUGCUUUUAUAGUGGACAAGUGGAGAACACCCAGGACUCCGACGUGAUCCUCUCUACCUGCACUGGGCUUUGGGGAUAUAUACAGGUUGGAAGUUUAAAGUACGAAAUACGCCCUGUUGAGAAUUCCUCUGCAUUUCAACACCUCAUUUAUCGAACGGCUCCAGAGCAGCAGGAACCGUGCCAAGGAAAUCUUGCAGACCAAGACCAGCUGGAAAGGAAUGAGCCAGAACUGAGACCAGGGGGGGACACCAGGAACCCAGCCACAGAACCCUCCUACAGGAGAAACGAGUACCCUGGAGGUGAUGCAUCGGCGUACAGAUACCUAGAGUAUUAUGCUGUGUGCGACCAAUCCAUGUAUCAGUGGGAAAAGAAUAAUGAAACUCGUGUGAUUCUGCUGAUUUUUCAGAUCAUGUCUAUUGUUCACAAUAUAUACGACGAUGUGGAUCUUCUUGUAAUUCUGGUAGGAAUUGAAUUGUGGACCAAGCAAGAUUACUCGCCAGUUAGUGAGACCCUGGAUAAAACUCUGGAGGGGUUUCACGGCUAUGCUGCCCAUGAGCUUCGGCACCAUGUGCAUUUUGACCACGCUUGUCUAUUCACAUUUAAAGGCAAGGACUUUGGAAAGUCGUGGGGAGGACGUUUUUGUCUUUAUAACCAUGCCUCCAUUUCUGCUGUCAAGGCUUCCUCUUCAGCAACGAAUGACGGCGUGUCUGCUGCGCACAAGCUAGGCCACAGCAUUGGCUUUGUCCAUGAUGAUCUUCCAGGACAGAAGAGCAGACGCUGUGACUGUGACUGCACCGCAAAGCCAGGCCACUGCCUCAUGUUUUCAGGUGUCGCAGAAUGUCAUCGAUUGAGUAACUGCAGCAAAGAUGUGUAUUAUGAAUUCUUAGAAGGGCCAGGAACAGUCUGUCUACUGAACAGACCUCAUGUGAUGUUUGAGAUGAAGACCUGUGGAAAUGGCAUAGUGGAAGGAGAUGAAGAGUGUGACUGCGGGAGAACUGAGGCGUGCCGAAAGAAUGGCUGUUGCUUGGAGAGCUGUACUUUGAAAACAGGCACUGAAUGUCUCCGUGGACCCUGCUGUGACAAAUGUCAGUUUGCACAGGAAGGAAGAGUUUGCAGAGAACCGGCUUCUGAAUGCGAUCUCCCCGAAUACUGCAGUGGGACCUCUGAAGAGUGCCCAUCAGAUAUGUACAUCCAAGAUGGGAUGCCAUGCGGCACCCGUGAGAAUUGCUAUAUGGGGAAGUGCCUUAACCUCCACCAACACUGCAAAAAUCUCUUUGGACCAGAUGCAACAGAGGCUCCACUGAGUUGCUACAAGGAACUGAACACACGAGGUGACCAGACGGGCAACUGCGGACAGGACAGACUUGGGUACAAGAAAUGCAGAGAAGAGGAUGUCCUCUGUGGAAGGAUCCAGUGCACUAACAUUGAAAGACUCCCCCGGAUGGCGAGUGGCCAGGCCCUGGUUCAGACUCCGGUGGGCGGUGUCCUGUGUUGGAGCACAAAAGCUCACGAAGGGGAGGAUGCUGGAGCAAUAAAAGAUGGGUCGUCCUGUGGUGCUGGCAAGAUAUGCAUAAAUCGAUCAUGUGUUGAGCUGGAAGUUCUGAAUUUUGAUUGCAAUUUCUCAAAAUGUCACAACCGGGGGGUGUGCAAUAACCACAGGAAUUGCCACUGCACAUAUGGAUGGGCCCCUCCCAACUGUACUGGCCGAGGAUACGGAGGGAGUAUUGACAGUGGGCCUCCUCCGGAACGCAAGCUACCUAAACGCUAUUUAUUACUAGGCUCAAUGAUUGGAGUGGCUUUCCUUUUGAUGGCAGUCACUGCUGGCAUUAAGGACUAUCUGGCUGGGUGGGCUAGACUGUUCAGGAGAAAAGGAUCCCGCAUGGUUUCAUCUCCAGAAUAUACUGAGCACUUGAGAAACGAGGAAGGGAGGACCAAAAGGAAGGAAGCACCAUCCCUCCAUAAUGCUGUGGAGGAUCCUGCCUAGGCACGUUCCCAGCCCGGGGUGACGCACAAUGGGGUGGCCCUCUGUAUAAAAUGUGAACAGUGGCUUGCAUUCCCCUGCAGUUCUGGGCCAUUGCUGCUCAGGCAUGGAUGAUUUAUUCGGCAGAUGAUCUUUUUUUAAACCUGAAGGUCCUUGAGGUGCCCCAAGGAAGAGGAGGAGGAAGCGUGCCUCCCCUGCCGCCUUUGUGCCAGCCAUCCCACCCCAUGCUCCCUCCUCCUCCUCGGCCUAAUGAUCCCACGAUCCGCCUUUGAACCGCGCACUCUUUCUUUGAUGGUUGCAUACAGUUGUCACGGGUAGCUCCAUCCUUGUGCUCACAAUGACCAUGGUGGGAGUGGUCACUGCAGUUCCGAGAAUGAAAUAGACCGAUUAUCACCCUCA